rnacentral:rRNA from 1 species
CGGGGAGCACCACAACAGGUGGAGCCUGCGGUUUAAUCGGACUCAACGCCGGGAAACUCACCAGAUAAGACAGCUGAAUGAUAGUCGGGCUGAAGACUCUACUUGACUAGCUGAGAGGAGGUGCAUGGCCGUCGUCAGUUCGUACUGUGAAGGCAUCCUGUUAAGUCAGGCAACGAGCGAGACCCACGCCAACAGUUGCCAGCUCGUCCUCCGGGAUGGUGGGGACACUGUUGGGACCGCCUCUGCUAAAGAGGAGGAAGGAAUGGGCAACGGUAGGUCAGCAUGCCCCGAAUUAUCUGGGCUACACGCGGGCUACAAUGGGUGGGACAAUGGGUAUCGACACCGAAAGGUGAAGGCAAUCUCCUAAACCCAUCCGUAGUUCGGAUUGUGGGCUGCAACUCGCCCACAUGAAGCUGGAAUCUGUAGUAAUCGUGUCUCAAAAUGGCACGGUGAAUAUGUCCCUGCUCCUU